rnacentral:tRNA from 1 species
UGAUGUAUAGUACAAUGGUUAGUACCUGUCACUACGGAUGACAUAAUAGAAGUUCGAAUCUUCUUACAUCAU